rnacentral:sRNA from 1 species
UCUCCUUGCCUUUCAGGCAUCCUCUCCCAAAACUUCCAAGGCCCGGUCGGCUUCGACCGGGCCUUUUUUCUUGUCCGA